rnacentral:rRNA from 1 species
UUGACCUCAAAUCAGGUAGGACUACCCGCUGAACUUAAGCAUAUCAAUAAGCGGAGGAAAAGAAACUAACAAGGAUUCCCCUAGUAACUGCGAGUGAACCGGGAAAAGCUCAAAUUUUGAAUCUGGCGGUCUUCAGGCCGUCCG